rnacentral:rRNA from 1 species
UACGUAGGGGGCAAGCGUUAUCCGGAUUUACUGGGUGUAAAGGGAGCGUAGACGGCUAGACAAGUCUGGUGUGAAAACCCGGGGCUCAACCCUGGGACUGCAUUGGAAACUGUUUGGCUUGAGUGCAGGAGAGGUAAGUGGAAUUCCUAGUGUAGCGGUGAAAUGCGUAGAUAUUAGGAGGAACACCAGUGGCGAAGGCGGCUUACUGGACUGUAACUGACGUUGAGGCUCGAAAGCGUGGGGAGCAAACAGG